UUUUGUCGUAGCUUGCUAUGAUAAAAAUUAGUGGCAGACGGGUGAGUAAUGCAUAGGAAUCUACCUAGUAGUAUGGGAUAGCCACUAGAAAUGGUGGGUAAUACUGUAUAAUCCCUGCGGGGGAAAGAUUUAUCGCUAUUAGAUGAGCCUAUGUUAGAUUAGCUAGUUGGUAGGGUAAAGGCCUACCAAGGCAGUGAUCUAUAGCUGGUCUGAGAGGAUGAUCAGCCACACUGGAACUGAGAUACGGUCCAGACUCCUACGGGAGGCAGCAGUGGGGAAUAUUGGACAAUGGGCGCAAGCCUGAUCCAGCUAUGCCGCGUGAGUGAGGAAGGCCUUAGGGUUGUAAAACUCU
rnacentral:rRNA from 1 species